GUGCCCUAGAGGAGAGGAGCCUUCGGAAACGUGGUCCCUGUCAAGUUUCCCUUGAGAGUCAAAAAAACAAAAGACUGCUGUUUGGCCCCUGCCAGGCAGGACUGUCCUCCAAACCCAGAAAACCACUGAUUGUUGUUCCAUGGCUUUACCUUGGUUUUGCUUGUUCGAGAAAGCCGUACAAAUACCAUCAUGUGGGAAAAUCCUGCUCUGGGCUGCUCACAUGAGGCACAUAACUACCUGGUUCUUAGCUCUUGAACUCGACUCCUGUGUAGAACUUGAUGAUUCAAGGGAAACCAUGGAUCUUCAUGGCCCCAAGGAUGCAGCUGUAGUAAGAUUUUCUUUCAAAUGGAACCAGGAAAAAGAAGAAGACUUUCUAUGACUCAGCAGUGAUUAGCCUCCAACUUUCAAAACAUUUGCAAACUUCUGCGUUUGGAGAGGACACAUAGAUCUCCGUUUGUUUCUAAAGGCAAUACCAGUGGCAACCAGCCAUUUAGGAUGAAAGUGGAACUUGGGUGGAUUUUGCAUCAUGUCAUUUCUGGUGGCAUUUCAAAGUGAAGUGAAGUCCUGGAUUAAAGUGAAACAAAGCAGUGAUGAGAACACCUCCACUGCAUCAGUUUGACUUGGAUAUUACUCUAAAAGCAAAUGAGUACAAGUUGUGCAAAUUGAUGUGUCUUUUACACAAAUGUAUGUGGAAUCUUCUUUUAUUGUUUUCAAAGAGUAACUAUAAAUCACUAGCAAGGUAGACAUUUGCGCCCCAUACCCUUCUCUGUCAUUUACCUGUUACAUGGCAUUAGAAAGGUAGCAGUACUUGUCAUCAACUUGAUUGUCACCUGUACAAACCUGUGUAUGUGCCCACAUACUCUGGAUAUGGCAAGUGAUGUGGCCAAAUGACAAGACCAUGAGUGCUUGGUAAGAACUUGAUGAGUCUGGUAAAAUCCAGACUCAGUCCGUGCCAAGCACCUGCUGUACACAGGACUUACAGAAGGGAAGAGUGGAUGUUGCUAGCCAGGAUAUUUUAUAUUUUGAUUAUAAAGCUAAAAUUUGCAUUUUGAAGAAACAGUGAUGGUCUGUGGGUGAAACUGCUUCAACAGGCCAUACAUGUAGUGUAGUCUUUUAGAUUUUGCUUGAAAACACUUGUGGCACUGAGAAUUCAUUUGUCUCACAAAGAUUCUUAUUCCACUGCACCAAUAGCAUUGAAAGCCCCCAAGUCGCUGUUGGCAAUCUUUCUCUCUAGACCAAAGCAGGGAGAGGUCUCCGCACCCUUUGUGAGAAUUCCUCUGAUACUGAUGGGAGUUAAGGAUGCUAUAUUGUAUAGGCUCCUAUCUUCUAGUCUACAUACGUCAGCUACUGUAAGAUUUGGUGUUCAAAUUCUUUCUAUACAGCCUCCUAUAAAACUCAUCUUAAUCCAAACUUAGCCAAGUAUAAUUUGACUAGAAAUACAUACAAAGAUAAG